rnacentral:rRNA from 1 species
CGUAGGUAAUCUACCUUCGGAUGGGGAAUAACAAAUCGGAAACGGUUGCUAAUACCGCAUAAUGCAGCGGCACCUAAUGGUGACAGUUGUUAAAGCGGGGGAUCGAAAGACCUCGCGUCUGAAGAGGAGCCUGCGGCGGAUUAGCUAGUUGGUAAGGUAAUGGCUUACCAAGGCUACGAUCCGUAACCGGCCUGAGAGGGCGGUCGGUCACACUGACACUGACAUACGGGUCAG